GAUGAAGAACGCAGCGAAAUGCGAUAAUUAAUGUGAAUUGCAGAAUUUAGUGAAUCAUCGAAUCUUUGAACGCACAUUGCGCCCCUUGGUAUUCCGGGGGGCAUGCCUGUUCGAGCGUCAUUUCAACCCUCAAGCUCUGCUUGGUCUUGGGCCGCGCCGGCAACGGCGGGCCUCAAAAACAGUGGCGGCGCCAUCUGGUCCCUCAGCGUAGUAAUUCUUCUCGCUGCUGGGCCCCGGUGGCCGCUUGCCAGCAACCACAAACUUUCUAUGGUUGACCUCGGAUCAGGUAGGGAUACCCGCUGAACUUAAGCAUAUCAAUAAGCGGAGGA
rnacentral:misc_RNA from 1 species